rnacentral:lncRNA from 1 species
UCUCUGAUUUCCGCUUUAACGCGAAACAAUAAUAUAUAGAAUCGGGAGGUGAGGAGAGAGAGAUCACAUCUGACCCGCGCUCCUGUUCCUCACAAUACUCCUCGCUUUCUAAAAUGAUUUACACCAGUAGAUAGAUUCAUUUUAGGUAUUAAUUCUUUCCUUUAUAUUUUAGAGUUCUAGAAUAAGUAAUUGUAGUGUGUUCGCGGGAACCGACUUUAUAACGAAAGUGUAAAAUAAGCGAGUAAAAGAAAUUUCUUUGACAAAUAUGACAAGGACUCGGGUAUAAGAGAAGAGAAAAAAAAUAUUUUUAUUGACAAAGAUAAAUGUAAUUAUGAUGAUGAUAAAAUAUAUAAGAUAAAAGAUGAUAAUAUGAUAUAUAUAAACGUAAAAAAUUUUCUAAGGCUACACAAGAGACAAUAAAAAUGAUAACAACAAAAAAGUAUAACAUUAUAUAUGUGUGUAAGCGUAUAAUAUUUCUAGUUAUUCAUGGGGAAAAUUCUUUGUUCUUAAACUCUAUUCGGAUGAUAUGUGCGGCCUCACCCGACAGUGCGAGUCGGAGGGGGGCGUUAGCCGAACACCUCCGCACCCUUCACUGUGGGGAGCCUGACUCAUCAAAUUUAUCUCCGUAGAAUGGACGGUAUUUAUUCCGUUCAUCGGGUUCCGUGUUGAAGGAAGGUCCGCGUCUCCAUCAUGUUGGAAAUCCUGCAGGUCUUAGUGUCUCAAGGGUGGAUUCGUCGCCUCUUCCGCCGACGGACGGUAAUAUUUUUACAGGCGUUAGGCCUGACGGCGCGUUGCGGGUAAGGACAGCUAAUGAGGCAAAUAGAGUACACAGAGAUUACGGUUUAAGAACCAAGAGCUUCCUUUAUUGUACUAAAGAGAAAGCUCUAAAAAAUCGUUAAAUUUUACAAAAUCACAUCCGACAAUUUCGGUUCCAUACCUUAGGAAUAGAUGUUUCUACAGAGUUCGAAUGUCUUCUGAAAUGAGCUC